rnacentral:lncRNA from 1 species
UUUGUUGAUCUGCAAGUUUCUCUAGGUUUUAUUGUUGCAAGAUAUCUAUAUGCAUACAUUCUUUAUCUUUAGUUUUAAGGUUACAUAUAAUUUAUAUAUAAUAUUUAAUAAAAAUUAAAAUAUAUGAUAUAAUAAAAUAUAUACACACAUGAGCAGAGGCAGAGCAACAAGAAUAAGGUUUUAAGACACACAAUCAGGAGAGAGAAGGGCCCAUCAAAGUAAAUGGACAAGGGGAAGGGGGCACCUGUAAAUAGCGGGCAUCCUGCCAGUGCAAAGAAUAGAAACCUGGCUGGGGGCUUGGGUCAGCCAGAUGAACAGUCAAGCUAGGGAGGGCACAGCUGAUGAUGACACAUGCUGGCUGCUGCUUCUGUCCAGAGGGAAAUGUCUCAAAUACAUUGUGGUUCUGAUUGGGCUCAUCAGCCUCACACCCUCCAACACACACACACACAUACUUUGAGGUUUUGGGCCUCUGGCUUCCGUAAGGAGAGAGCAGCUUAAAUUUAACUUCGAGGGGCUGAGCCCCUUCCUCCAGGAGCAGUGUCCAUUCAUGGGGACCAUAUGUAGAGGGAGACUUGCUGCUUAUUUGUUCCCCAUCGUACCACCUGUGUGUACCAGUGGGUCUCAGGUGCUCUUUCUGAGUGGGGACCCUAAUUGUGUUCAGUCACAGCAGUUGUGGUGCCGUCCCCCAUCGCACCAUCUGUUCUGGAGGAGGAUGUUGCAGAGGCGCUGCUCCCUAAACUGGAGGUUUUUCAUUGCUGCCCAUCA